rnacentral:rRNA from 1 species
GAGUUUGAUCCUGGCUCAGGAUGAACGCUGGCGGCGUGCUUAACACAUGCAAGUCGAGCGAAGCUUAUUAGGGAAGCCUUCGGGUGGAAUUAAUAAGACUUAGCGGCGGACGGGUGAGUAACGCGUGGGUAACCUACCCUAUACAGGGGGAUAACAACGAGAAAUCGUUGCUAAUACCGCAUAAGCGCACAGUAUUGCAUGAUACGGUGUGAAAAACUCUGGUAGUAUAGGAUGGACCCGCGUCUGAUUAGCUAGUUGGUAAGGUAAUGGCUUACCAAGGCGACGAUCAGUAGCCGACCUGAGAGGGUGAUCGGCCACAUUGGGACUGAGACACGGCCCAAACUCCUACGGGAGGCAGCAGUGGGGAAUAUUGGACAAUGGGGGAAACCCUGAUGCAGCAACGCCGCGUGAAGGAAGACGGUUUUCGGAUUGUAAACUUCUAUCAGCAGGGAAGAAAAUGACAGUACCUGACUAAGAAGCCCCGGCUAACUACGUGCCAGCAGCCGCGGUAAUACGUAGGGGGCAAGCGUUAUCCGGAAUUACUGGGUGUAAAGGGUGUGUAGGCGGCAAUGCAAGUCAGAUGUGAAAGCCAGGGGCUCAACCCCUGGACUGCAUUUGAAACUGUGUAGCUAGAGUGCAGGAGAGGUAAGUGGAAUUCCUAGUGUAGCGGUGAAAUGCGUAGAUAUUAGGAAGAACACCAGUGGCGAAGGCGGCUUACUGGACUGUAACUGACGCUGAGGCACGAAAGCGUGGGGAGCGAACAGGAUUAGAUACCCUGGUAGUCCACGCUGUAAACGAUGAGUGCUAGGUGUCGGGGGUCGACAGACCUUCGGUGCCGCAGCUAACGCAUUAAGCACUCCACCUGGGGAGUACGAUCGCAAGAUUGAAACUCAAAGGAAUUGACGGGGGCCCGCACAAGCGGUGGAGCAUGUGGUUUAAUUCGAAGCAACGCGAAGAACCUUACCAAAUCUUGACAUCCCAUUGAUCGUUUCGUAAUGGAAACUUUCCCUUCGGGGACAAUGGAGACAGGUGGUGCAUGGUUGUCGUCAGCUCGUGUCGUGAGAUGUUGGGUUAAGUCCCGCAACGAGCGCAACCCUUAUCUCUAGUAGCCAGCACUUCGGGUGGGGACUCUAGAGAGACUGCCGGGGAUAACUCGGAGGAAGGUGGGGAUGACGUCAAAUCAUCAUGCCCCUUAUGAUUUGGGCUACACACGUGCUACAAUGGUGGUGACAAAGGGAAGCAAGAGGGUGACCUUAAGCAAACCUCAAAAAAGCCACCUCAGUUCGAAUUGUAGUCUGCAACUCGACUACAUGAAGCUGGAAUCGCUAGUAAUCGCGAAUCAGAAUGUCGCGGUGAAUACGUUCCCGGGCCUUGUACACACCGCCCGUCACACCAUGGGAGUCGGAAGCGCCCGAAGCCGGUGAUCCAACGUAAGAGGAAGCCGUCGAAGGUGAAGUCGAUAACUAGGGUGAAGUCGUAACAAGGUA